rnacentral:miRNA from 1 species
GAGCACUUUCCGCGGCGCUUGG